rnacentral:rRNA from 1 species
CCUACGGGCGGCAGCAGUAGGGAAUUUUCGUCAAUGGGGGGAACCCUGAACGAGCAAUGCCGCGUGAGUGAAGAAGGUCUUCGGAUCGUAAAGCUCUGUUGUAAGAGAAAAACGGGUAUCUUAGGGAAUGAUGAUAUCGUGAUGGUAUCUUACCAGCAAGCGACGGCUAACUACGUGCAAGCAGCCGCGGUAAUACGUAGGUGGCAAGCGUUAUCGGGAAUGAUGGGGCGUAAGGGGUGCGUAGGCGGCAAAAUAAGUCUGAAGUAAAGGGCGUGGGCUCAACCAACGUAAGCUUUGGAAACUGUUAGGCUAGCGUGCAGGAGAGGUUAGUGGAAUUCCAUGUGUAGCGGUAAAAUGCGUAGAUAUAUGGAGGAACACCAGUGGCGAAGGCGGCUAACUGGACUGUAACGGACGCUGAGGCACGAAAGCGUGGGGAGCAAAUAGGAUCAGAUACCCCUGUAGUC